rnacentral:rRNA from 1 species
AGUGCAUGUGGUGGAUGCCUUGGCGAUCACAGGCGAUGAAGGACGCGGUAGCCUGCGAAAAGCCCCGGGGAGCUGGCAAACAAGCUUUGAUCCGGGGAUGUCCGAAUGGGGAAACCCACUCCUUUUGGAGUAUCCAUGACUGAAUACAUAGGUCAUGUGAAGCGAACGCGGUGAACUGAAACAUCUAAGUAACCGCAGGAAAAGAAAUCAACCGAGAUUCCCAAAGUAGUGGCGAGCGAAAUGGGAUGAGCCUUGUACUCUUUAUUUGUAUUGUUAGCCGAACGCUCUGGAAAGUGCGGCCAUAGCAGGUGAUAGCCCUGUAGGCGAAAACAGUAUGAAAGAACUAGGUGUACGACAAGUAGGGCGGGACACGUGAAAUCCUGUCUGAAGAUGGGGGGACCAUCCUCCAAGGCUAAAUACUCGUGAUCGACCGAUAGUGAACCAGUACCGUGAGGGAAAGGCGAAAAGAACCCCGGGAGGGGAGUGAAAUAGAUCCUGAAACCGCAUGCAUACAAACAGUCGGAGCCUCGUAAGGGGUGACGGCGUACCUUUUGUAUAAUGGGUCAGCGACUUACGUUCAGUAGCAAGCUUAACCGUAUAGGGCAGGCGUAGCGAAAGCGAGUCCGAAUAGGGCGUUCAGUUGCUGGGCGUAGACCCGAAACCAGGUGAUCUAUCCAUGGCCAGGAUGAAGGUGCGGUAACACGUACUGGAGGUCCGAACCCACUAACGUUGAAAAGUUAGGGGAUGAGCUGUGGAUAGGGGUGAAAGGCUAAACAAACCUGGAAAUAGCUGGUUCUCUCCGAAAACUAUUUAGGUAGUGCCUCGUGUCUCACCUUCGGGGGUAGAGCACUGUCAUGGUUGGGGGGUCUAUUGCAGAUUACCCCGCCAUAGCAAACUCCGAAUACCGAAGAGUGCAAUCACGGGAGACAGACAUCGGGUGCUAACGUCCGGUGUCAAGAGGGAAACAACCCAGACCGCCAGCUAAGGUCCCCAAAUAUGGCUAAGUGGGAAACGAAGUGGGAAGGCUAAAACAGUCAGGAGGUUGGCUUAGAAGCAGCCACCCUUUAAAGAAAGCGUAAUAGCUCACUGAUCGAGUCGUCCUGCGCGGAAGAUGUAACGGGGCUAAGCCAUAUACCGAAGCUGCGGAUGCGUGCUUGCACGCAUGGUAGGAGAGCGUUCCGUAAGCCUGCGAAGGUGCCUUGUAAAGGGUGCUGGAGGUAUCGGAAGUGCGAAUGCUGACAUGAGUAGCGAUAAAGGGGGUGAAAGGCCCCCUCGCCGUAAGCCCAAGGUUUCCUACGCAACGUUCAUCGGCGUAGGGUGAGUCGGCCCCUAAGGCGAGGCAGAAAUGCGUAGCUGAUGGGAAGCAGGUCAAUAUUCCUGCACCGUCGUUAGAUGCGAUGGGGGGACGGAUCGCGGAAGGUUGUCCGGGUGUUGGACGUCCCGGUCGCUGCAUUGGAGAAGGCGCUUAGGCAAAUCCGGGCGCAGGAUUCAAGGGUGUGGCGCGAGCGACUUCGGUCGCGAAGCAAUUGGAAGUGGUUCCAAGAAAAGCCUCUAAGCUUCAGUCUAACGAUGACCGUACCGCAAACCGACACAGGUGGGCGAGAUGAGUAUUCUAAGGCGCUUGAGAGAACUCGGGAGAAGGAACUCGGCAAAUUGGUACCGUAACUUCGGGAUAAGGUACGCCCUUGUAGCUUGACCAGCCUGCGCUGGAAGGGUGAAGGGGUUGCAAUAAACUGGUGGCUGCGACUGUUUAAUAAAAACACAGCACUCUGCAAACACGAAAGUGGACGUAUAGGGUGUGACGCCUGCCCGGUGCCGGAAGAUUAAAUGAUGGGGUGCAAGCUCUUGAUUGAAGUCCCGGUAAACGGCGGCCGUAACUAUAACGGUCCUAAGGUAGCGAAAUUCCUUGUCGGGUAAGUUCCGACCUGCACGAAUGGCGUAACGAUGGCCACACUGUCUCCUCCCGAGACUCAGCGAAGUUGAAGUGUUUGUGAUGAUGCAAUCUACCCGCGGCUAGACGGAAAGACCCCAUGAACCUUUACUGUAGCUUUGCAUUGGACUUUGAACCGAUCUGUGUAGGAUAGGUGGGAGGCUAUGAAACCGGAACGCUAGUUUCGGUGGAGCCGUCCUUGAAAUACCACCCUGGUUUGUUUGAGGUUCUAACCUUGGUCCGUGAUCCGGAUCGGGGACAGUGCAUGGUAGGCAGUUUGACUGGGGCGGUCUCCUCCCAAAGGGUAACGGAGGAGUACGAAGGUACGCUAGGUACGGUCGGAAAUCGUGCUGAUAGUGCAAUGGCAUAAGCGUGCUUAACUGCGAGACCGACAAGUCGAGCAGGUGCGAAAGCAGGUCAUAGUGAUCCGGUGGUUCUGUAUGGAAGGGCCAUCGCUCAACGGAUAAAAGGUACUCUGGGGAUAACAGGCUGAUACCGCCCAAGAGUUCAUAUCGACGGCGGUGUUUGGCACCUCGAUGUCGGCUCAUCUCAUCCUGGGGCUGUAGCCGGUCCCAAGGGUAUGGCUGUUCGCCAUUUAAAGAGGUACGUGAGCUGGGUUUAAAACGUCGUGAGACAGUUUGGUCCCUAUCUGCCGUGGGCGUUGGAUAUUUGAAGGGGGCUGCUCCUAGUACGAGAGGACCGGAGUGGACGAACCUCUGGUGUACCGGUUGUGACGCCAGUCGCAUCGCCGGGUAGCUAUGUUCGGAAGAGAUAACCGCUGAAAGCAUCUAAGCGGGAAACUCGCCUUAAGAUGAGAUAUCCCUGGAGGCUUGACCUCCUUGA